rnacentral:rRNA from 1 species
GAUGAACGCUGGCGGCGUGCCUAAUACAUGCAAGUCGAGCGAAUGGAUUGAGAGCUUGCUCUUAUGAAGUUAGCGGCGGACGGGUGAGUAACACGUGGGUAACCUGCCCAUAAGACUGGGAUAACUCCGGGAAACCGGGGCUAAUACCGGAUAACAUUUUGAACCGCAUGGUUCGAAAUUGAAAGGCGGCUUCGGCUGUCACUUAUGGAUGGACCCGCGUCGCAUUAGCUAGUUGGUGAGGUAACGGCUCACCAAGGCAACGAUGCGUAGCCGCCCUGAGAGGGUGAUCGGCCACACUGGGACUGAGACACGGCCCAGACUCCUACGGGAGGCAGCAGUAGGGAAUCUUCCGCAAUGGACGAAAGUCUGACGGAGCAACGCCGCGUGAGUGAUGAAGGCUUUCGGGUCGCAAAACUCUGUUGUUAGGGAAGAACAAGUGCUAGUUGAAUAAGCUGGCACCUUGACGGUACCUAACCAGAAAGCCACGGCUAACUACGUGCCAGCCGCCGCGGUAA